rnacentral:rRNA from 1 species
UACGUACCGUCCAAACGUUAUUCGGUAUCACUGGGCUUAAAGCGUUCGUAGGCGGCCUAGAAGGUGUGAUGUGAAAGCCCACGGCUCAACCGUGGAACUGCGUCGCAAACCACUAGGCUUGAGGAAGACAGGGGGUGAAGGGGAACUUAUGGUGGAGCGGUGAAAUGCGUUGAUAUCAUAGGGAACACCGGUGGCGAAAG